rnacentral:tmRNA from 1 species
GGGGGUGACACGGCUUCGACAGGGGUAGAAAGCCCUAAGCUGCACGCAUGCCUGGGCAAGCAUUAAAACGGCCCACUAAAAAUAAACGCAGCAAAUAACAAAUCUUAUAGCCCAGCAGUAGCAACAGCUGCUGCAUAAUUAGGGAUUGAGGGCGCCUCCACCCACUGAGGAUUUCCGCCUCCUCGGGUGGAGAGUAAAGUGCGGAUAGGAAGUCUUAGUUGGAAGGGCUAAGACUUCCGAAACUUUACCCUUCCCUGUUAGGAUAAAGGCCUUGUUCGUUGGGCCUCCUAACAGUAUAACCAACGAACUAAGCGUGUAGACGCUUAGGGUAAUCUACUUCUGGACUGGGGUUCGAUUCCCCACACCUCCACCA